GACGGACGCUGGCGGUGUGCUUAACACAUGCAAGUCGAACGGUAAGGCCCUUUCGGGGGUCCACGAGUGGCGCACGGGUGAGUAACACGUGAGUAACCUGCCCUCAUCUCUGGGAUAACAGUCGGAAACGGUUGCUAAUACUGGAUAUGAGCUUGCAAGGCAUCUUGUGGGUUGGAAAGAUUUUUUUUGGUUGGGGAUGGACUCGCGGCCUAUCAGCUUGUUGGUGAGGUAGUGGCUCACCAAGGCUUCGACGGGUAGCCGGCCUGAGAGGGCGACCGGCCACAUUGGGACUGAGAUACGGCCCAAACUCCUACGGGAGGCAGCAGUGGGGAAUAUUGCACAAUGGACGGAAGUCUGAUGCAGCAACGCCGCGUGCGGGAUGACGACCUUCGGGUUGUAAACCGCUUUCAAUUGUGACGAAGCUUUUUUGUGACGGUAGCAGUAGAAGAAGCACCGGCUAACUACGUG
rnacentral:rRNA from 1 species